CCCUAUUUGGUAAAAGUCCAAGUUCAUAUUAUGGCAAGAACAGCUCAAAUAAGUAAAGAGAAACGACAGUCCAUAAUUACUUCAAGACAUGACGGCUGCCAUGGUGUGGGCCUAGCGAGCUGAGCCUUCAAAAAUCAUAUCAGGAGAUAUUCUCCUCCAAUUCGCGUUGAAAGGAGGCGAAGAGAGAGAAUGUGAGGAAUCGAAGAAAGACAAAUUGAGAAAGAGCCUAUCCCUGAGCGGGUUGGAUAGAUGUUCUAGGGGUUCUGCAAUGCUCAGAGAAGACUACCGUAUCUCUUCCCCAGACCUGUAUCCAUUUGACGUCCUCCGUGACCAACCACCCUCCAAGAUCCCACUUUUCAUUACAUUAUCUACAGCUACUGUCAUUGUCAUGUUUAAUCUAAUCUGCUAAGAAACUGCUUGCCAUAUCAUACUAGGCACAGUGAGAUACACAGAUGAACUACGUACACUAGCACUGCAAACACUCCAAGAGCGAAGAGAGCAGCUGUGCCAGGACUUUGCAAUCACCAUCUUUAAGUCCCACUUCUGAGAUUGCAUGCCUGUGGAGGGAAAGUGAAGGGCAAAACCCAUAGCACCCACCUCCUCUCUAUUCCAGAAUUGAGAGAUACAUUUUUUUUUAUCCAUACCCUAUUUCUGCUAAGACUCUUUUGAACAUCCCCUCUUAUAUUAUGUACAUUACUUGUCAUUCAAACUUAUUUUUUCUAAACUAAAUGGUAUAUUACUGUUGAUGUGUUGAUAGUCAUGUAUUCCAGUCUAUAACUGCCAUGUCGGUAUAUUGAAUAAAAUAAACAAGUUCAUGACACAACUGUUUCACAAAAAGA